rnacentral:rRNA from 1 species
GGCCUAACACAUGCAAGUCGAGCGGAAACGACACUAACAAUCCUUCGGGUGCGUUAAUGGGCGUCGAGCGGCGGACGGGUGAGUAAUGCCUAGGAAAUUGCCUUGAUGUGGGGGAUAACCAUUGGAAACGAUGGCUAAUACCGCAUGAUGCCUACGGGCCAAAGAGGGGGACCUUCGGGCCUCUCGCGUCAAGAUAUGCCUAGGUGGGAUUAGCUAGUUGGUGAGGUAAUGGCUCACCAAGGCGACGAUCCCUAGCUGGUCUGAGAGGAUGAUCAGCCACACUGGAACUGAGACACGGUCCAGACUCCUACGGGAGGCAGCAGUGGGGAAUAUUGCACAAUGGGCGAAAGCCUGAUGCAGCCAUGCCGCGUGUAUGAAGAAGGCCUUCGGGUUGUAAAGUACUUUCAGUUGUGAGGAAGGGUGUGUAGUUAAUAGCUGCGCAUCUUGACGUUAGCAACAGAAGAAGCACCGGCUAACUCCGUGCCAGCAGCCGCGGUAAUACGGAGGGUGCGAGCGUUAAUCGGAAUUACUGGGCGUAAAGCGCAUGCAGGUGGUUCAUUAAGUCAGAUGUGAAAGCCCGGGGCUCAACCUCGGAACUGCAUUUGAAACUGGUGAACUAGAGUACUGUAGAGGGGGGUAGAAUUUCAGGUGUAGCGGUGAAAUGCGUAGAGAUCUGAAGGAAUACCAGUGGCGAAGGCGGCCCCCUGGACAGAUACUGACACUCAGAUGCGAAAGCGUGGGGGAGCAAACAG